rnacentral:rRNA from 1 species
GGUGAACGCUGGCGGCGUGCCUAAGACAUGCAAGUCGAGCGGGGCAGGUUUAUACCUGUUCUGCGGCGGACGGGUGAGUAACGCGUGGGUGACCUACCCGGAAGAGGCGGACAACCUGGGGAAAUCCAGGCUAAUCCGCCAUGUGGUUCUGUCCUGUGGGGCAGGACUAAAGGGUGGAUAGCUCGCUUCCGGAUGGGCCCGCGUCCCAUCAGCUAGUUGGUGGGGUAAAGGCCCACCAAGGCGACGACGGGUAGCCGGUCUGAGAGGAUGGCCGGCCAGAGGGGCACUGAGACACUAGCGCCACUCCUACGGGGGGCAGCAGUUAAGAAGCUGCCGCAAUGGGCGCAAGCCUGACGGAGCGACGCCGCGUGGAGGGGGAAGCCCUGCGGGGUGUAAGCGCCUGAACUGGGGGCGAAAGCCCCGUGUAGGGGGAUGACGGUACCCAGGUAAAAGCACCGGCCAACUCCGUG